rnacentral:rRNA from 1 species
CCUACGGGUGACAGCAGUGAGGAAUAUUGGUCAAUGGACGAGAGUCUGAACCAGCCAAGUAGUGUGAAGGAUGACUGCCCUAUGGGUUGUAAACUUCUUUUAUAUGGGAAUAAAAUGUUCCACGUGUGGGAUUUUGUAUGUACCAUAUGAAUAAGGAUCGGCUAACUCCGUGCCAGCAGCCGCGGUAAUACGGAGGAUCCGAGCGUUAUCCGGAUUUAUUGGGUUUAACGGGAGCGUAGGUGGAUUGUUAAGUCAGUUGUGAAAGUUUGCGGCUCAACCGUAAAAUUGCAGUUGAAACUGGCAGUCUUGAGUACAGUAGAGGUGGGCGGAAUUCGUGGUGUAGCGGUGAAAUGCUUAGAUAUCACGAAGAACUCCGAUUGCGAAGGCAGUUCACUGGACUGCAACUGACACUGAGGCUCGAAAGUGUGGGUAUCAAACAGGAUUAGAUACCCGAGUAGUC